AAACACAAGGGAAUGGAUCACACCUUACAAUUAGAGAACAGGAAACACACCUCAGAUCAAGCAGACUGAACAGUUGCUUCUGUCCUGUAUGAGCUUUUACACCUUGCAUCAAUAUAAUGUCUUUGUUUACAGCUAUUAAUGUACACUGUGGAAUGGAACGAAAAUUGGGUAGCAUUUUAUGUAGGACCAGAAAUAUCUUGUAACCCACUAAUCCAAGAGAACACACUGAUCCCAGAGAAACCACUGAACCCAGAGAGCCCAACCUAGAAGACCCAUUGAAAGAAGUGAAGAAAAAGACAAUGAUUUCAGACAAUCCUUUGAACCCAGCCAGUGUUGAGGAAACACUCGCUGAGGCAACAUGAGGAAGAAACCUUGAGAGGACCCAGAUUUAGAAAGGAAGCCAUCUUCAUCAGGGUGACAAAGGAGAGUGUGAUCUUUUCCCUUCUAUAACUGUAUACUAUAUGGCCAAAAAGUGCAAUUAUGUAACUGGCAUUCAUUAUGAAGUUUAUUCACUAAUAAACACACACAUGCACAUGUUCACACAGUACUUAAUAAUGAAUCAUAGCAUCCAUAAUUAACUAAGUUUACUUUAGCUUUACAAAAGAAAAAAUGCUCAUUGAGGAGGAAUGUGCUAAGCCUCCAGGAUUUGCUCACAAAGCAUGUUC